GAUGAAGAACGCAGCGAAAUGCGAUAAGUAGUGUGAAUUGCAGAAUUCAGUGAAUCAUCGAAUCUUUGAACGCACAUUGCGCCCCCUGGUAUUCCGGGGGGCAUGCCUGUUCGAGCGUCAUUUCACCACUCAAGCCUCGCUUGGUAUUGGGCAACGCGGUCCGCCGCGUGCCACAAAUCGACCGGCUGGGUCUUCUGUCCCCUAAGCGUUGUGGAAACUAUUCGCUAAAGGGUGUUCGGGAGGCUACGCCGUAAAACAACCCCAUUUCUAAGGUUGACCUCGGAUCAGGUAGGGAUACCCGCUGAACUUAAGCAUAUCAAUAAGCGGAGGA
rnacentral:misc_RNA from 1 species